UGAAUACAAUGUGUAUUUAUUACAAAGGUUUUCUUGAAAUAGAAAUGUAUUGUUUUAUAUUGAAUCCUCUCAUAAUGGUCUGUUGUGUACGUGGUAAUGCUUUUUUUUCUUUUCUCAUUUUGCAUUUAAAUUUAAAAUAAAAUAAAUUUACAAAAAAACAUAGGAAGCUUUUAAUAAAUGUUCCUUGCUUGUUUGCUUUAAGUACAUCAUGACUUCAGCCCAUUAAUUCCAAAGCUGUCCCACUUGCCUGUGUCUCCCUCUGAAUCUUCUAGAGCUGGCCCUUCCUGGGGAGUUCAGAUACUGUAGUUCCUUACUUCACAACAGGGCAGCUAGACGGCGCAGUGGAUACGGCCCUGGAGUCAGGAGCACUCGAGUUCAAACGCAGCCUCUUGCACAAGAAAAUCCCAAAUGGGGUCACAGAGUCGGACAGACUGAAACUUCCUAAUUGCUCCCCUUCCAUACCCAUCACCAGCAGCUCCCGAGUUUGGUGGCCACGGACCAGUCCCCCGCUGGUUGUAAAGAGCAUCCCUGGGAGCUGAUGGCACACUACAGACCUUCCAAGAAGGAUGUCCCCGGUGGCUUGGGGAAGGAUUUCUUCAUUUGAUCGCUCCUUCCACACCUGCAGGAUGGCCGGCUUGGGAACAAGGAGAAGUCGGGGCAGGGCCAGGGAGGCUGGCCUGGAAUCCCUACGGUCUCGGAAUGGCCCAGAAAGGGGACUCUGGGGCCAGCUCUGGCUGUCGGCAGCAGCCUCUCAGUGCAGGGGUCCUCUCACUUACCCACCCCCCACCCCCCCACACGUUCUCGCCACCCCGACUUCUGCUUUCCAGACCCUUGCCCCAACUGCGGCGUCUUUCCCUGAGGAACCUCAGCCACAACAGACACACACAUGCCGGAAGCGAGUUCUCCGACCAGGAAGCACGGCCAUUUCGGCUUCCGCCAAAGAGCUCAUAUCUGAUUGGUAGGGCGCGGUCGUCGAGAGCCAAUGGAAAAUCGGAAACAUGAAUUUGGUCUACCCUAGCUUGAUUUCUGGGGAAUUGCAGUUUUAGACCCUGGUAACCAGCCAGAGAAUCCACCGAGCAAUUGGAUUUUGCAUUGGCCUCGUUCCUACUUCUCUUUUCCUAGACGCUGACCUCACUGCAGGACCCCGCCUGUCUUCCAAUGUUUUCAUCACGUUCUAGAGCUGGGGUUCAGAACCAUUCUUGUUCACCGGUAGCCUGGUGAAGCCUAUUAACCUCUCCUAAGAAUGUUUUUAAAUGCACAAAUAAAUUACAAAGGAUUACAAUGGAAA